CCUUCACUUACAAGCUUCCCCAAGGAAACCGGAAAAAAUUACUACAUAGCUGAAAAGAGAGGACUGGAAGUAAUCACCAAGUGAAACCUGAGUUCUGGUUAAUGGAUUGAACUGGCUUCAUUUUGCAGAUCAUAUAUUUGAAAAAGUAAACCCUGAAAUGGAAAAGUUGGGCUUUGAAUGCAAGUGCCUUGGGGGAGGAAAAAUUGACCAUAAUAGCAAAGACAAGAAAAUGAGGGUAUUUGGUCUCUCCACAGGAUAUGGUAAAGCAGAUCAUGCAGUGACCGUAGAAAUACUGAAAAAAGUAUACCGAGACUAUGAAAUCAGUUGGUCAGAUGACAAGAAAUGAAAAACUACUCUGGAAUCUGAAAUACAAAGCAAUUUGCACUCUAGCUGUUGAUACAGAAUUGAAGUCUACAUUGUGUUUAAAUAAAUCACUGUUAGCUUUAUCUGAAUAAAAA